rnacentral:rRNA from 1 species
CGCGAAUGGCUCAUUACAACAGCCUUAGUUUCUUGGAUCUUCAACAGUUACUUGGAUAACUGUGGUAAUUCUAGAGCUAAUACACGCAUGAAAGUCCCAGCUUUGCGGUUGGGAUGCAUUUAUUAGUAUAAAAACCAAUCGAGCUUAUUAGCUCGUUUUUGGUGAAUCUGAAUAACUCUGCUGAUCGCACUGGUCUUUGUACCGGCGACGUAUCUUUCAAGUGUCUGGCUUAUCAACUUUCGAUGGUAGUUUAUACGACUACCGUGGUUGUAACGGGUAACGGAGAAUAAGGGUUCGACUCCGGAGAGGGAGCCUGAGAAACGGCUACCACAUCCAAGGAAGGCAGCAGGC